GAAUACGCAAUCGACCCCCAGUUCAGACUUCAGACGCUCAGAGCAAAGUUUUGGAACGCCGUCUGAGCACAGCUGUUUCACACCAUUUCACACCUCCAUUCCACGAUAUUCGGGAGAUUCUGUGAAUCAAAGUUUGUAAACUUCAAAAACAAAGAUGUUUGCGAUUCACAACGGUCUGAGAAACACGUCUCGUUUGUCAGGCGUUAUUACUCGGGCGUACACUAAUAGUAUAGUCAGUGCACCGCCUGAAGUAAAAAUUUCUACCGCUGAAAAGAUACUCUCGUUAUUCUGCAUAUCUGGAUCAAUAUUGAUAUCACCCUUAUACAUGGUUCCCAAUUUCAAGAACUUUGCUAAAAAAUGAAUAAGAAUGUUAAAUAGAUAAAACUUUAAAGGAUGCUUUGAAAUUUAACUUGGCAGUUAGUAAUUAAGAAUAUUAUUUAUAUGAUGUAUCCAAUGGUAUACAUUAGUAAAUUCAUUAUAUCUGAAUUAUCAAUAAAUAUUUAGAAAUAAAAA